rnacentral:rRNA from 1 species
AGCAUAAUCAUUAGUUUAUUAAUUGUGAACUAGUAUGAAAGGGUUGACGAAAUAUUAACUGUCUCAUUAUUAAUAAUUGAAUUUAAAUUUUGAGUUAAAAUGCUUAAAUUUAUUUGAUGGACGAUAAGACCCUAUAGAUCUUAAAUAAUGAUUAUUAAUUAUUUUUUGAUUAUUAUUAAUUUUUAUAAUAAAUUAUUUUCGUUGGGGUGACUUAAGGAUAUAAUUAACUCUUAUUUUUUAUAUACAUUUAUUUAUGAAUAACUGACCCAAUAUUAAUGAUCAAAAGAUUUAGAUACCUUAGGGAUAACAGCGUAAUUUUCUUUGAGAGUUCAUAUCGACAAGAAAGAUUGCGACCUCGAUGUUGGAUUAAGAUUAUACUUGGGUGCAGACGCUCAAAUAUUAGGUCUGUUCGACCUUUAAAAUCUUACA